rnacentral:lncRNA from 1 species
GGAGGGUAUGGGGGACUUUUGGGAUAGCACUGGAAAUGUAAUUGAGGAAAAUACGUAAUAAAAAAUAUAAAAAUUUUAAAAAAUUACAUGAUGAAUGUUAUCACCAUGGGGUGUGUCUUUUUCAAUAUGUUCUUUCCCCACAUUUCUUCAGCUUGUAAUGAAAUUUCUAGUGGGUGCUUGGCUGGUGGUAAAUCUUUUACCUAUAGUGAUUAUUAGAGACAGCAACAAUAUUUAUAGUUGUGUAUAUUUCUUUGACCCAUAAAUUGUAUAUAUGUCACUGGAAUUCAGCAAGUUGUAAUGCUCUUCAUCCAAAAAGCUGCUUGUCAGUCCUACCGUCAAUGAGCUGAUGAACUAUCACAUUUAUAGGACAUUUUUAUGGCAAAACUUUUAUCAGUGAAUGUGAUCAAUCAGAAUAGACCCUUUUAAAUAUAUUAUGUUUAUUUUCAUAGGAAUCUUGUUCACAACUAUGUAUUUAAUGCCAGUGAUAAUUAAUAUUUUUAAAACUUAUGGUGGGAAACAGUUGCCUGACCAAAUUCUCUUGACAUAUGUAUGCUGUUGUGGUUUCCAUCUUGAGUGGAAUAGCCAACACAUAGUUUACUUAGAAAUGAUUAAUGUGCAUGGUCACCUCCAAGUACUAAGAAUCUUGACUAAUAUGGGAAACUUUAGACUAUUUCCCUGGAAAUGCCAGAGGCAGCAUAGUAUAUAACUAGAAGUAAAUAUUAAUUUGUGUGUGCAUGCUCAAGGGGGUGUGUAUGAACAUUGCUUACAGAAAUGUACAAGGUCUUUUAAUUUGCAGCUGAGUUGAAGUCUUCUUAGAUUUGUAAUGUGUGUGGGUGUGAUAUUUAGUUCUUCUUUCCCUCAUUACUUCAUUGAUGAUAAGAUGCACAUGAUGUUUGUCUUUGAAGCUUAUAAACAGAUGAAAAUGAAGCACCGCCUUAGAGAUGCUGCUACCCAAAGCCAUUGUCAUUCUGAUUAGAAAUUUCCAGGUGCACGGGAAACAUCAAGUGAUUAUACUCAUUACAAUUCAGCCAUAAUGUCAUUAAAAUAAUUAAACAGUGUAUUUUAAUUUGAUUUACUUGAAGAAGAGAGAGUGCACAAAGUUAGCAACAGUCUUCUACUAUUUAUUGUAAGAAAUAUGUCUUUUUGUUCUCCUUAUUUUAAAUUUUGGUGUAUCUGCAGGAAAAAAAUAGACAUUUUUCUAGUGUAUGCUUUUUUCCUUAAAUAAUGCUCGCUUAACCAUCAUUGGUCAAGGGGUGGGCCUGCCCAGCUAUGACCCAUCAGUCAGUCUUAUCUAGAAAAGUGGUCUAACAAGUUGUUAGAACUGUAAACUUUCUUCCCUAGGAACACCCCUACUUUCUGCGCCUCUGUUGUUGCCCUUUCCUCCCUGCUUUUGUGUCUAAGUCUUGAGUUGUGAUUGGAAAAAAAAUGAGUAAACAGAAUGCAAGGAGCGACUGAGUUCAGAUCAUACUAGUUGGUGUCAAGUGACUAAGCAUAGGAACAUACGUUUAUUUUUUUUUAAAUAGCCUCCUGGCUUUGGUUACUUGUGAAAAGGGAGGACUCAUAAGCCAUUCUCAUCUAAUCCCAAGCACCAUAUUAAUAAAAUAUCUUUUCCUGAUUUUUCACAAUGGAUUUGGCUCUUUUCCUUGGACUAUUGAGGAUGAGUCACAAGACCUGAAUUAGGGAACAGAGUGAGACUCCCAAAUUUGAUAACAAUAUGUAUAGCCUGGGUUCAACCCUAAAACACUAAAAACACUACAAGAAAGGUUAAUAUGAAUCAUCAAAUGAAAGAUUCUUAAGCAAUAUCAUGGAGUACAUCAAAAUAACGUUUCCAUGAACUAUACCUUAAAUAUUUAUUUCCACAAAUUUAAGAAUAAGUAGAUUACAUUAAUAUAUAAAAACAUUACAAAUGCAACUACACUCCCCUACAUUCUAGGACUUUACUAUGCACAUUGAAUAUAUACCUGCCCACCCCUCCCCAACAAUUAUAAAAUCAAAGUGUUAUUAUACUCCAAGAGUUUUUUAAAAAAUCCAUCCUGAUGAAAAAAAUCUGAAUGUUCAGUAAAAAUUUAUACUAGUUGUAUUUAACUAUCUAGAUAUGUUGCUAGAGUGUUCUCCACAAAUUUAGUUAGAAUAAGUGCCACAAGAUGUGAAUAUGUUACAGAAUAAUGGAAUCUAAGCCAGUUUUAAUGUGAGCAUAUUUCUCUGUAAUUAACAGUAAUUAUUUCUAAUUGUUUCCUGCUUUUUUUCCUUUUACUUAUGCAGUUUUUUUAUAGUUGAUUUACCUUGAUUUGAGUCAGCUUUUCAUGGGUGAUUAUGGAUUUGGGUCUCCUUCCCACUGGUUAUUGAGCUUUUCCUAUGCUGAACCUGUUUCUAUCUGAUUAUCCUUAAGUUCCCCUGAUGUGAACUUGAUGAAAACCAAGUAGGGGGCAUAGAAAUUGAAAAAAAAAAGU